CUGUAGCUCAGUGGAUAGAGCGUCUGCCUCCGGAGCAGAAGGUCGCUGGUUCGAGUCCAGUCGGGG
rnacentral:tRNA from 1 species